UAGCCGUAAACGAUACUCGCUAGGUGUCGGCCACGGUGCGACCGUUGUCGGUGCCGUAGGGAAGCCGUGAAGCGAGCCACCUGGGAAGUACGGCCGCAAGGCUGAAACUUAAAGGAAUUGGCGGGGGAGCACCACAACGGGUGGAGCUUGCGGUUUAAUUGGAUUCAACGCCGGAAAUCUUACCGGGACCGACAGCAACAUGAAGGCCAAGUUGAAGACUUUGCCGGAUUAGCUGAGAGGUGGUGCAUGGCGUAGUCGUGU
rnacentral:rRNA from 1 species